CUCUCUCUUCCAGAGCUUGAUGCAGGAAGAACUUCGAAAUAUUUGGUAGAGCCACAUGUGACUGAUCAAAAUAUUCACCCUAAGGACACAAAACAAGAGUGUUAAGAUCUGCCAGAUACGGGACUCACCUGCAGCAGAAUGUGGCUUUAACAGAACUUGGGAGAUCCUUCCAAUGGAAGGUAUUUUGUUUACAAAGCACAAUCACUUUGGAGACCUUGAUCUGACUUCUACAAUAAAUGAAUGACUUGGACAUGAGUAACCAUGGGGAGUCGUCCUGUUUCCAUUCUGCAGAGCUGCAGUUGCAUGAUGUCAGCUGAAAAGCUGCAGAAGCUCUGAGUGGUGUGUGCAGCUGCUCAGCCCUCUGGGCACAGCCUGCCCCUCUGUCUGCACUGGGCACACAGAAACUGAGCCAUGGCUUUGGGUCACUGCCUGAGGACUGCUGACCCUGUCCUUACCUGCAGUGUUCCUGAUGUUGGGAAAAUGUCAGUGCCCUUUAACUUCCUCAUCACCACACCAGCUCCUGUCUUUGUGCCCAUGGAUCCCAAGUCCCUUGUGAAGGAGAGCACGCAGCCUAUGCAAGGUGGUCCUGCGCUUCUGAACUCAGGCCAUAGUGAAUGAUGUUCUGGAAAGCAAAGCCUCAGAUCCCUCUAGUGCCAAAUGGCCCAAGAACUUCAAAGACAUGCUGCAACUCAAAUCUGUCCUUCAUGCUUUUGCUUCCUUCAGCAUCUAGCUGUGGCAAGGCCAGCUUCUCACUGGCUCUAGAGGCUCUCUCUUCAGACUUUUAAAUGUAAGUGAAUUGGGACAGUUCAUGUCACCUGGUCCAGCUGCACUAGAAAUGGGCACCUUGACUCAUUAGAACAGCAGGCAUCUCUCUUCCACUGGGCCCAAACUCCUCAUUAACUUUGAAAUAUUUCACUCUGCUCCCACCCUUCAACUUGCAGCUUCUCUGGCCAAGUUCAAGAAUUCUUAUUUCCAGAACCUGCUGUAUCUCAGAGGGCUUCUGAAGUGCUCACAAGGUGACUAAUACAGGCAAGGUACCUGACCUAAUUUUCAUAUAAUUGGCAUUACUUUCUGAAGUUACUUUUUCUUCAAGAGUUGGAAGUGCAGAGCAUUGAUGUGCCAUCUUUGAGCAUUUAUAGGAUGAGACUCCUGAAUUUUCUCUCUACUUAAGUUUGUGUAAGUUUAGUCUGUUUCUUAUGAAGAGUUGCUGUAACUACAACCUUAACUACUGCAGUUACAUUGGAACACAAAAUCAAUGAAAAACAGAAAUGCAAUUUAGCUAGAAACCCCUAAAUGCAGUAUUCUCAUGCUUUAACCCUGCUGACUGGUUAAGAGAGCAAGUGUGGAAGCAACACUUCCCACUCCUGGAUAUCCCAGUGUGCUGUUCCUUCCCUUGCUGGCCAGCAGCAGGCAAUAGUGUCCUGUCAUGUUCAUGUUCAGAUGUUAGUGGGUUUCUAACCUGGACUGCUAAUGGAAGCAAUUAGCUCUGAAUGUGUGCAAUA